rnacentral:rRNA from 1 species
CAUGUCUUUUUGAUUAUAAUUUAAAGUCUAAUCUGCUCAAUGAGGAUUUAAAUUGCCGCGGUAUUUUGACCGUGCAAAGGUAGCAUAAUAAUUAGUUUCUUUAUUGGAAGCUGGAAUGAAUGAUUGGACGAAAAAAUUACUGUCUCUAUUAAAUUUAUUUUUUAAUUUUACUUUUAAGUUAAAAGGCUUAAAUUUGUUUUAAAGACGAGAAGACCCCAUAGAGUUUUAUAUUAGUAUUAUUAAUUAGUUUUUGGUUAUUUAUUUUUUUUAUUAAUAUUAAUAUUUAGUUGGGGUGACUAAAAGAUUAAUUAAACUCUUUUAAUUUUUAAUCAUUGAUUAAUGAAUAAUAAGUCUAGAUUUUCUAAGUUUAAAGCAAAUUACCUUGGGGAUAACAGCGUAAUUUCUUUUUAGAGUUCUUAUUGAAAGAGAAGUUUGCGACCUCGAUGUUGGAUUAAAAUUAAUUUUUGGUGCAGAAGCUAAAAAAUUAGGUCUGUUCGACCUUUAAAAUUUUACAUGAUCUGAGU